UCCAUGAUAUCGAAUUAAAAAAAAACCCAAAAUUUAUUUAAGCGCAUAACUAAAUUAUCAUAACUAUUUCCCUUCGAUAAUAUUUUUAUUUCGGACUUAGGAUAAAAUUAUUCAUCCUCCGAAAUAUUCCGGGAUUAAUUAAAUAUUCCUCACUAUUAAAUUUGUUCAUCGGCCCAUGGAUUUAAAUUAAUCUGGCCCAAGUAAAUUUUAUUCCCAUCCCAACUAAUAAUUUAGUAGUUGGCCCAACCAUUUUCCUCCUAUUUAAUUUAGGGUCCAAAACCAAAAUAAAAUGAACCCAAACUAACAAAUCAUCACUCUAAUAUAAUAGGCCCAAAAAAAAUUUAAGUGAGCCCACAUGAGAGGAACCCACGUAUGAAACAUACCCUACCAUUGUCUUCCUCCCUCAUUUCACAGCCUCCAUUCCCUCUCUCUCGUCGCCGUCGAUCCGCCGCCCUGCGGCCAGCGCCGCCGCUCCGGCGGUGCCCCUCUCUCCCUCUCUUCUCUCCCUUCUCCCCCUCCUCUCUCUCUUCUUCUCUCAGCCUCACGCCUCCGUCAUCCCCUCUCUCUCUCUCCCGAUUAACUGCCGCCGCUACUGUGCAUGCACAGGCGGCGGCUUCGCCUUCCUCCUCCCGGAAGUCCAGCCGUAUCUGCGGCGGUCUGCAUCUAUCUCUCUCUCUCCCUCUCGGUCGAUCUCUCUCUCCCCGAUUCUCCACACAGCCGCCGCCGCGGAUCCUCCUCCGCCGCCGCCGCUGCUGCGAAUCCGCCACCGUCGCGGAUCCGCCUCCACCGCCGUCACCGAGAACCUCCCCCAGCUGCCGACGCCGAUUUCCGACAGAUCCGUCAAGGCUGCGAUUUUAGUGAUGGAUUUGGGGUAUUGGGCUGUCAUUGUUAAUGACGGGUUGCCGAGCUUGCUGCCGGAAGCUUCUCCGGUGGACUUCUAUGCCCUUUCAAGCUAAGUUCCUAUUAUUAUUUGGGAAUUUGUCAUUUUAUGUUUUUGGGAUGCUAUAGCAACUAUGUUCUUGUGGUGCUAAAUUAUCUAUAUGAAAUAAAUAUCGAAUGCUAAAUUGGUGUUUUACAAUUUUGGAUACUAAGUUUGUAUUUUGGCAGAGACAUGUUUUGCCUAUAUGUACUGUGUCAAUAUGUGGAUAAGUGAGGUGUGGGUACUUACUUUUGUGUGAUCGUGAAAAAGGGCUGCUGAACUUGCUUCCUCUCCUCCUACUUCAGCUUUGUUGGGAGAUUGGCAUGGAAUAACCGUUUAUGUGGGGUUUGUGAAGAGAAAAUUAGGAUAUCUGAUGUGUGUGUGUGUUAUGGUGAAAGAACGUGAUUUGUGUAAAUGUACUUAUACAUAAAAGAUGCUAAGUGGCGUAUCUUGCAAGAAUAAGAUGCAAGUGGCUUAUCUUACAUUAUGCAAGUGGUGUAUCUUACAUUAUUCUUGUCAGAGAAUGAUGAUUUCUAUUGCAAAUCUUUUAAUGCAACAUUUAAUGCUCUUGAUACACAAGAUCGACCCUUUCUUCUUCUUUUUUUUUUAAAUUUUAUUUAUUUAUUAAAUUAAUUAUUUAAGUAUUUGUUCACUUAUUCUUUUAAUCUGGUGUAGGUAUAAUCGAUUCAAGUUCGUGGCUGUCCGUGUUGAAGUACCCGAUUUUCUUUAGAACGAAGGAUGUAUUAAAUUAAAUUUUCGUUGAACAUUUGUUAGAUGUAUCGGACAUUAAAAUUUUGAUUAUGAGACUUUAUUUAUUUAUUUAAAUUUAUUAUAUUCAUAUAGGUGUAUUAUAUAUUUGCGUGUUUUAUUCACUUGUCUAUCGACAAAACAAAUAACGACGACAAUCUAUCGUAGCUCGGAAUUAAUCGCAUAAGUGUUACUUAUAUAGAUAAUCAAACUAAUAAUAUAGUUUAUAAUAAUAUCGGCUUAGCGGGUCGUUACAUUCUACCCCUCUUAAAAGAAAUUUCGUCCCGAAAUUUAGGAAGUACUAAGACAAAAAGCUCGGGAUAUUUCUCUUUCAUUUUCUCUUCUAGCUCCCAUGUUGCUUCUUCAUGUCCGUGGUUUUUCCACAAAACCUUCACUGUCGCAAUCGACUUGUUCCGAAGCUGCUGCACCUUUCGAUCUAGUAUUUCUACCGGCUUUUCUUCGUAACUCAGGUUAGGUUCUAGGGCGAUUUCUUAGUAGCAAAUCACAUGUUUUGGUCGAACACGUACCUUCGAAGUUGGGAGACGUGGAAUACGUUGUGUGUGUUCCCGAAGUUGGGUGAUAAUGCCAAGCGAUAUGCUAUUUGGCCCACUUCCUCCAGAAUUUCAUAGGGUCCAAUAAAUCGUGGUUUCAGCUUUCCCUUGAGUCCAAAUCUGGUUAUUCCUUUGGAAGGGGAUAUUUUCAAGAAGACCUUCUCUAUUAUGUUAAAUUUCAAUUACAUGAGUGUUUGGUUCACCACAAACUCUCACCAAUAGCUUGCAACAAAGGUUUUUAUGAAAUGUAAAGACUAGGCUCAAUUGGACUCAUUCUGCUCCCCCCAGAAAAGAAAAUAUACAACUUCAAAGGCUUCAGCUAUACCCAUAGAGCUUGGAAAUUUUAUUAUGGGAAGAGCUUGCCAGAUGAAAUAAAUUGCGAAAGUGAGGGUAUGAGGAAGAGAAUGCAGAUGUCAAUAAUAGGUUGCCAAUAAUAUUCAAAAUGAAGACUCAAGUAGAAAAGUUUCAAGUAUCCCUAUAUGAUAACAGUAAGACCUGAGAUGGUUGGUUACAAAUGGAUUUGAAAAGAAUAGGAAAAAUAAACAAUUGCAAUUUUCCCAACAACACUGUGAUAUAAGCAGUUCAAGGAAACUAACUAAUGAAGAUGGCAACAAGAGGAAACUAGCCAAGGGAGAAGCAAUGUGCCAGCUUUAACAUGGAGCUUGCAGAAAAGCUCAAAUCAAGAGGCAACAGUCAUAUUUGAAUUCAGAAGAUGAGAGUACUCAUGUAAAAUAAAGAGCUUGUCAAUAAGUAUGUCUGACAACACAAAGGGUCAAUUAAAAAGGUUUAAGGUCUCACCAGAUGGUUGCUCCAACAUAGUAAGACUGAAAAUGAUUGGGCUCAUGUUGAUUUGAGAAAGAAGAAUAACAAGGAACUACUCUUUAGGGUCAACAGCAUCGUGAUACUAUAUCACGUUAAUGAAUUCACAGAGUUUAUAACCAAAUCACGGAAAUUAACAAGUAGAGAAGACAACCUGUAAUAUCCAAAUCUUUUAGAAGUUUAGAGUUAGUAAUUAGAUUUUUAGUUAGAGGUUUUAUGUGUAUAUGUUUUUAUUAGGAAUAAAAGAAAUAAAUUAGGAAAUAGAAUUAAUGAGAGAAUUAGAAAAAGAAAAAGAGAAAGAAAAAAAGUUUUGAAAGUGAUGAGUAAGUAGGAAGAAAAAAAACGUGUCUUGUGGAGAAAAAGUUAGGAAGGAAAUUAAGGAAAAGAAAAUAGAAAAAUAAUAGUCAUCCUCUUAUUUCUUCUCUCUCUUUUUCGUACUCCCUCUACUCUCCUCCUCUCUGUAAAAUAUUCAACAGUCUCUACUCCCUCCGAUCAGCCACCGCGACUCCUCCGAUCGCUCCACCGCGUAACAUGUAAAACACUCCAUCAAUCCAAGCUCUUAAUUCCCCUUCUUUCCCUCAAUUUUGGAGCUUAGGUUGCAAACCCGCUUCCACUAAUCUUUGGAAAAUUGUUGAAUUUAGAGGUGAACCGAGUGCAAGCACAAGCGAUAAGGGAAAAGGGCACCUCCAUGGUUGACUAAGCAAGUAAUAGCGGGUUUUUUUUUGACGUGUACAGAGUAUAGAAGCGAGUGAACUCGCUAGUUGGCAGCCGCACGUGUCAAGUCACCACCUCCCUUUUUGCUGGUACAGUCGUAGUUUACACGUGGCAUGCUUAGAUUAUCUUUUGGUUGUAAAUAGUUGGUUACAAAUGUAAGGUUAUAACCUUCUUUUUGCUAGUGGAGUUGUAUAUAUGUCUAUAUAAACAGGUUAAUGUUAUUUUGUUAUGUAUAGUAGUAAA